AUCUAAUUAAAUACGUCUGAAGGGUUCACCUCAGUAGAAGAACACUGCAGCAGCGGCAGAGGCUUUUGGUGCAUUCAGAAGCCUCUCUUUAUAUUCACGAGCCUUAUCAGACUUGAGACUAUUUGGGUCAGAGGUUUCAUGAGCCUUAUCAGAUGUAAGACUAUUUGGGUUAGAGGUUUCAUGAGCUUUAUCAGACGUAAGACUGUUUGGGUCAGAGGUUUCAGGAGCCUUAUCAGACGUAAGACUAUUUGGGUCAGAGGUUUCAUGAGCCUUACCAGAUGUAAGACUAUUUGGGUUAGAGGUUUCAUAAGCCUUACCAGAGGUUUUCUUUUUUGCAAAUAUCUUCAUUUUCUGUAACACCAUGGAAUGCCCGAGCAAAUAUUCCAGAAACUGAAUCAUCUGUCUCUCCAUUACGAAGCCAGCUACCUCCACCGUCUUGAGGUGAUCA
rnacentral:lncRNA from 1 species